UUGGAGGGCAAGUCUGGUGCCAGCAGCCGCGGUAAUUCCAGCUCCAAUAGCGUAUAUUAAAGUUGUUGCAGUUAAAAAGCUCGUAGUUGAAUUUUAGGCGUGGCCGGGCGGUCCACCUUCUGGGUGAGCACUGUCUCGUCGUCGGGCCUAUCCUUCUGUUGAGCCGGCAUGUCCUUAACUGGGUGUGUCGGGGAAGCAGGACCAUUACCUUGAAAAAAUUAGAGUGUUCAAAGCAGGCGCAUGCCCGAAUACAUUAGCAUGGAAUAAUGAAAUAGGACGUCGUGGUUCUAUUUUGUUGGUUUCUAGGACCACCGUAAUGAUUAAUAGGGAUAGUUGGGGGCACUAGUAUUCAAUUGUCAGAGGUGAAAUUCUUGGAUUUAUUGAAGACUAACUUCUGCGAAAGCAUUUGCCAAGGAUGUUUUCAUUAAUCAAGAACGAAAGUUAGGGGAUCGAAGACGAUCAGAUACCGUCGUAGUCUUAACCAUAAACUAUGCCGACUAGGAAUCGGGCGAUGUUAUUUUGAUGACUCGUUCGGCGCC
rnacentral:rRNA from 1 species